GACGAACGCUGGCGGCGUGCCUAAUACAUGCAAGUAGAACGCUGAAGAGAGGAGCUUGCUCUUCUUGGAUGAGUUGCGAACGGGUGAGUAACGCGUAGGUAACCUGCCUUGUAGCGGGGGAUAACUAUUGGAAACGAUAGCUAAUACCGCAUAACAAUGGAUGACACAUGUCAUUUAUUUGAAAGGGGCAAUUGCUCCACUACAAGAUGGACCUGCGUUGUAUUAGCUAGUAGGUGAGGUAAUGGCUCACCUAGGCGACGAUACAUAGCCGACCUGAGAGGGUGAUCGGCCACACUGGGACUGAGACCCGGCCCAGACUCCUACGGGAGGCAGCAGUAGGGAAUCUUCGGCAAUGGGGGCAACCCUGACCGAGCAACGCCGCGUGAGUGAAGAAGGUUUUCGGAUCGUAAAGCUCUGUUGUAAGUCAAGAACGGGUGUGAGAGUGGAAAGUUCACACUAUGACGGUAGCUUACCAGAAAGGGACGGCUAACUACGUG
rnacentral:rRNA from 1 species